rnacentral:rRNA from 1 species
UACGAAGGGGGCUAGCGUUGCUCGGAAUCACUGGGCGUAAAGGGUGCGUAGGCGGGUCUUUAAGUCAGGGGUGAAAUCCUGGAGCUCAACUCCAGAACUGCCUUUGAUACUGAGGAUCUUGAGUUCGGGAGAGGUGAGUGGAACUGCGAGUGUAGAGGUGAAAUUCGUAGAUAUUCGCAAGAACACCAGUGGCGAAGGCGGCUCACUGGCCUGUAACUGACGCUGAGGCGCGAAAGCGUGGGGAGCAAACAGG